GGGGAUUUGGCUCAGUGGUAGAGCGCUUGCCUAGCAAGCACAAGACCCUGGGUUCCGUCCCCAGCUCCG
rnacentral:tRNA from 1 species